GGAUUAGAUACCCUGGUAGUCCUAGCCCUAAACGAUGAAUACUUGGUGUCUGGAGUAAUUUUAUUCUCCGGGUGCCGUCGCUAACGUUUUAAGUAUUCCGCCUGGGGAGUACGCACGCAAGUGUGAAACUCAAAGGAAUUGACGGGGACCCGCACAAGCGGUGGAGCAUGUGGUUUAAUUCGACGCAACGCGAAGAACCUUACCUGGACUAGAAUGCCUUUGAUCGUUCCGUAAUGGGAAUUUCCUGAGCAAUCAGGCAAAGUGCAAGGUGCUGCAUGGCUGUCGUCAGCUCGUGCCG
rnacentral:rRNA from 1 species